GAUGAACGCUGGCGGCGUGCCUAAUACAUGCAAGUCGAGCGAACGGACGAGAAGCUUGCUUCUCUGAUGUUAGCGGCGGACGGGUGAGUAACACGUGGAUAACCUACCUAUAAGACUGGGAUAACUUCGGGACACCGGAGCUAAUACCGGAUAAUAUUUUGAACCGCAUGGUUCAAAAGUGAAAGACGGUCUUGCUGUCACUACUAGAUGGAUCCGCGCUGCAUUAGCUAGUUGGUAAGGUAACGGCUUACCAAGGCAACGAUGCAUAGCCGACCUGAGAGGGUGAUCGGCCUCACUGGGACUGAGACACGGUCCAGACUUCUAAGGGGGGCAGCAGUAGGGAAUCUUCCGCAAGGGGCGAAAGCCUGACGGAGCAACGCCGCGUGAGUGAGGAAGGUCUUCUGAGCGUAAAACUCUGUUAUUAGGGAAGAACAUAUGUGUAAGUAACUGGGCACAUCUUGACGGUACCUAAUCAGAAAGCCACGGCGAACUACG
rnacentral:rRNA from 1 species